AGCUGAUCACUGGGCGUAAAGCGUGCGCAGGCGGUUUUGUAAGAUAGAGGUGAAAUCCCCGGGCUCAACCUGGGAACUGCCUUUGUGACUGCAAGGCUGGAGUGCGGCAGAGGGGGAUGGAAUUCCGCGUGUAGCAGUGAAAUGCGUAGAUAUGCGGAGGAACACCGAUGGCGAAGGCAAUCCCCUGGGCCUGCACUGACGCUCAUGCACGAAAGCGUGGGGAGCAAACA
rnacentral:rRNA from 1 species